rnacentral:lncRNA from 1 species
UUGCUGCGCAAGUUUUGACUUCUUCUCCUUCGCUGGCUUGCGCUCGAAGCUUUUCUCCAUUGUCGAAGUUACCAACUUCGGCUCGCACCUUCACUGCUCGCACCUUCAUCUGUGGCUUCAUCUGUUGUGGUGGAUGUAUCCUAAGCUUGAAUAACUUCUUCCCUCUUAGCUUUAGCAAAAAAAUCAUGGAGACGACACACUUGUCAAGCAUGUCACACACAUCUAUUAUUUGAAACAAUGUGGUCUUAAGGGAAUAGAUAGACUGAGGUGGGUUACAUUCACAACACCAUUAGUGACCAGGCUGCGAAUGAUAUCAAGGCUUCCCUGGAUCACUCACACUGUGCUCUCUACCAUUUCGAUGGGGUCCUUGUCCAUUGUUGGUACUAAAAAAUACCAUCAUAGAAUAAAUGCGGUCUCUAACAAUUGCAUUUGCAUAGAGAAAAUUAUCUACACUACCAACUCUUGAGCAUAGGUGACACUUAAUAUGACAAGAACAUGUACGAUGUGCCUAAAUCAAAUAGUACUAUGUAGGGUGAAAGAUGGUAUGAUUUGUGCAUUCCUAUAUUCCAGACUCUAGCUAGGUAGUUAUUUGGCUAUGUUCCCAACAACAUCUGUGUCCAAAUUUGUAUGGGGAACAAAAAAAAUUGGAGGUCCAUUAUAAACGUUUAGCAAAGUAGUAGCCCACGUUAGAUUUCGACAUGGAAUCUAUGGUGUCGUGUGGCAGGGGCGGGCCCAUGUAGAAGCAAGGGUAUUCAAUUGAAUACCCAUUAUUUUCUGGCAACAAAAUUUAUUUAUAUCUAUAUAUAUUAUGUUUAUACACUAAAAUAUUGUCAAAACAUAAAAUAACACUACUUUACAGCUAUUUUGUCCUAAACUUCGCUUUUCGCUAGUGUUUUUUAUUUCCCUACCGUGUGACUAGGGAUAACAAUCGCGUGGUUAGGACACAAGUAUAUAGUUUACAAAUCUAUAACUACAAGACAAAAUUAGAUUUAUACUUGUACCCAUAUAGGUUCGCAUAUAUAGAUAUAUACUAAUGUCAGAUACACAUCGGGUAACGGGUAUGGAUACUGUAUAUUCAUAUCUACGAAAUGUUUACCAAUGGAUGCCUUUAUACUCAUACUCGUACUCGUGGACAACAAAUUAUAUCAUAUCUGUGUUCGAUGGAUAAAGGAUAAUUAUCUGUUUUUCAUAAAUAAUAAAUUUAGGCUACCAAGAAAAUUGUGGUCACUGAGAUUCGGAAUACCAUCCUUGAAAUCCUGGGCCCGCCCCUAUCGUGCGGGUUUAGGAUUAUUAAGUGUGCAGUUGUAACAAAGGUGUUGUGGACACCACUGAUUAAUGGGGAACAAAAAAAACUGUGAAGAUUUGCCUUAAAUUGUAGGGCGUGCUGUCAGUUUGAAGGGAGUGGACACGGCCUCAGAGUUCAUCGAAAACCCGAACGAAUAAACCCCUAAUUGAAAACCUUGGAAGCUUUAUGGCAUUCAGAUCGGCGAGAUUUCAAGCGAGUGAGAGGGACAACCCGGAUCUGUUACCGGUGACUUGAGCGACCAAUCGUCGACGAUGAGCAUCAUGCGCUUCCCGGGAAUCUCUCUCUAGCCCGAUGAGGUUUACACUCUGGUCAGGCUUCCAUCACAUGGACAACAACACGGCCGGAGCCACAGACAGGAACUAGAGGCGACGCUCGUGCUUGAAGAAGACGAACUAUUUGGAAAGCAGCGUUGGAGUGCGGGGGAGAGAGAGAACGCGGAGGAAAAGGGAGUCCACAAGCCGGCCUCCAUUUUCCACGCCUGGAUGCAGAGCAGAGCUCAUUGGGCGGAUGAAUAGUGCACGCGACCGCGCAUUUUGG